UUCCCGAUUCAAGGGUAGGCAGCGCCCUCUUCAGCAUGCUUUUUCAGCUAAAGGUAAGAUAUUGUAAACAAAAAUAUUUUGAGUGUUAUUUGUGAAGAAAGAAAUAUGAUGGACAAAGAAAAUAGUGUAUUCCUCAGUUUAACUGAAUAUUUCCGGUAUUUGAAAGCAACUCCAAAUAAUAGGAAUGUGAUAGAAGGAGAAGCGGUCUUGAAUGCAUGUAAUUAUGUGUGGGAAUAUAGGUAAAAGUAUUAGUAUUAUGCUUAGAAUUGUUCGGCUUAUGCUUGCAGACUUCAGCCCUUUCAGCAGAUCCUCAUGAAAUCAGAGGAAAAAUAAUAACAACUAAAGAAACUGCAACAAUAUCAGCUUUCAGCUGUUCUUGUAAGGCUGGAUUAGGAGGCAGAUGUAAACAUAUAUCAGCUCUACUCUUACAUUUUACCAGGUUGUAUAAUUUUUAUUUAUUUUAUGUCUGAAUCAGGACUUCCAAUUGAACAAUAA